UGGGGAAUGGUGUAAUGGCAGCACAUGCGACUCUGACUCGUACAGUCUAGGUUCAAAUCCUAGUUCCCCAG
rnacentral:tRNA from 1 species